AGUUGGAGGCUCCAAAGCCAGAAGCCUGAAUUAAUCAAAGAGCUGCUGCUGAUGGAGCAAAGAUGAAAGGGUUUCCAGGCCAGUCAGUGAUAUGCUUGGAGUUUUUCCCUCGGCAGCCACCCUGGGUCCCAGGCAGAAGGAGCAAGAGAGGUUAAAGCUCCGUUCCAGAAACUAAGAAAUGCCCCGGGGUUCUUGGAAGACGUUGAGAGGAAAAGCAGAGCGUCUGGCAUCCUCAUCCAUGCUCCUGAACCAGUAACAGCAUUUGGCUGAGGAGUCCCCAUGGGUGGGAAGAAAAGGCCUAGUGACUGGGGACUUUGAAUAAAAUCUUCUUUCCAUUUU